CAAGACUGUGAUCGAUAGCCGGCCUGAGAGGGCACACGGCCACACUGGCACUGAAACACGGGCCAGACUCCUACGGGAGGCAGCAGUGGGGAAUCUUGCACAAUGGGGGAAACCCUGAUGCAGCGACGCCGCGUGAGCGAUGAAGCCCCUCGGGGUGUAAAGCUCUUUCGGCAGGGAAGAUGAUGACGGUACCUGCAAAAGCAGCUGCGGCUUUAACUACGUGCCAGCAGCCGCGGUAAUACGUAGGCAGCAAGCGUUGUUCGGAGUUACUGGGCGUAAAGGGUGCGUAGGCGGCUUUUUAAGUUUGGUGUGAAAUCUCCCGGCUCAACUGGGAGGGUGCGCCGAAUACUGAGAGGCUAGAGUGUGGGGAGAGGAAAGUGGGAAUUCCUGGUGUAGCGGUGAAAUGCGUGGAUAUCAGGAGGAACACCGGUGGUGUAAACGGCUUUCUGGACCAUAACUGACGCUGAGGCACGAAAGCGUGGGGUAUCUUUUUUGAUUAGAUACCCUGGUAGUCCACGCCCCUAAUCUAUCCCUAAUUUCUGUGGUGCCACUUCAUUUGGUCUGUGCCGGAGCUAACGCGUUAAAAUAUGCCGCUUGGGAAGGAUCAGUCGCAAGGCUGAAACUUCAAAGGAAUUGAC
rnacentral:rRNA from 1 species